AUGGUAUUUAACUCUUUCAUGCUUACUUUAACUAGUUAUUUCGGUUUUCUACUGACUGCUUUAACUAUAACCCCAGCUCUAUUUAUUGGGUUGAACAAAAAUACGCCUUAUUUGAAUUGA
rnacentral:rRNA from 1 species